rnacentral:lncRNA from 1 species
GUAUUUAUACUAGAAUAUAUAUAUAUGAGUUGUUUUCGAUGAUACAGUUUCCGAAUCGACGAUCGCCCUCGUACUUAUAAGUUGUUUUCGAUGAUAUAGCUUCCGAAUCGACGAUCCACACCGUUAAACGUUAUUUACAGUAUUUAAAACUUCUAGAAAUCAAAUUUUAUAAUUUUUCGACAUCAUUUAUCUUACGAUCAAGAGGUCACAAAUUUGACAAUUUUUAACGGCCAGUAUAGGAUACUUGCUAGUUUAACGGUGUAAACGAAUCGGAAUUUGUUGAAUUUUUGAUAAAAAAUUCUAUUCACUACAUAGAUAAAGAUCAAUAACUCCGAUCUUGAAUUUAAGGAUCCGAUCAUCCUUUUUUAGGACGUCGUUCGAUUUUGACCGUUCAUUUUAUGCCCACUUGAUAGACUUUAUUAUGAUUUCGAAAAUUUACGAAAUUUAUUUUCUAGAAAUUUCAAAUACUCUAGAUCAUAUUUAACGGAGUGGAUCGUCGAUUCGGAAGCUCCAUCAUUGAAAACAACUUAUGAGUACAAGGGCUCCAAUACUCAUAAUAGUAUAGUAGCCAUGACCUCUAUAUAUAUAUAUAUAUAUAUAUAUAUAUAUAGAGUCCGGCUACUAUACUCUUAUGAGCAUAGAGCCUCUUGUACUCAUAAGUUUUUGGCGGUUAGAUUUACCCUUUAAUUAUUUUCACCCGUUAGAUUAUACUAUUCAACCAACUACUCACUCAACCCUAGGGGGCCCACUAUCAACCUAACCAUAACUACUCUCAUCCUAACCGCACAUUUUUUCAUCUGAACGGCUGAAAACUUAUGAGUACAAGAGGCUCUAUACUCAUAUGAGUAUAGUAGCCCCAGCCUAUAUAUAUAUAUAUAUAUAUAUAUAUAUAUAUAUAUAUAUAGAGUGAGGCUACUAUGCUAUCGGAAGCACGGAGCCUUCCGUGCUUCCAGCUCGUUUUCGAUGUUGCGACUUUCGAAUCGUCGAUCGGCUCCGUUAAACUUGAUCUAGAGUAUUUGAAGUACCUAGAAAAUAAAUUUUAUGAUUUUACGAUAUCAUUUGCCUAGUGAACGAAGGGGCUCAAAAUCAACGGCUGAAAAUAAAAAUCUUACAAAAUGUAAUAAUAUGACAUUAAAAUUUUAAAUCAAAGAUAUUGAUCUUGUUUUAUAUAGUAUAAAGAAUUUUCUAUCAAAAUUUCACGUGAUUUGGAUAUUUCUAUAUCGUUAAACUUGCAAACGGCUCAACACGGCCAUUAAAAUUAUUGAUUUUGAGUCCCAUCGAUCACUAGGCAAAUGAUAUCGAAAAAUCAUAAAAUUUAUUUUCUAAGUACUUCAAAUACUCUAGAUCAAGUUUAACGGAGCCGAUCGACGAUUCGAAAGUCGCAACAUCGAAAACGAGCUGGAAGCACAGAAGGCUCCGUGCUUCCGAUAGCAUAGUAGCCUCACUCUAUAAAUAUAUAUAUAUAUAUAGGCCAUGGCUACUAUACUAUUAUGAGUAUUGGAGCCCUCGUACUCAUAAGUUGUUUUCAAUGAUGGAGCUUCCGAAUCGACGAUCCACUCUGUUAAAUAUGAUUUAAAGUAUUUGAAAUUUCUAGAAAAUAAAUUUCGUAAAUUUUCGAAAUCAUAAUAAAGUCCAUCAAGUAGGCAUAAAAUGAACGGUCAAAAUCGAAUGACGUCCUUAAAAAGGAUGAUCGGAACUUUCAAUUCAAGAUCGGAGUUAUUGAUCUUUAUCUAUGUAGUGAAUAGAAUUUUCUAUCAAAAAUUCAACAAAUUCCGAUUCUUUUACACCGUUAAACUAGCAAGUAUCCUAUACUGGCCGUUAAAAAUUGUCAAAUUUGUGACCUCUUGAUCGUAAGGUAAAUGUGUCACGCCCCGGGGUCCCUUUUAGUUUAAAACAUAGCAGAAAAGCGUCUGAAUUUUUUUUUUUUUUUGAAAACCUCACUCCAGAGUAUGUCAGAUCCGCUACAAACACAGGGAAUCCACUGUGCACACGGACAGAGUCUCCCCUGUAUUUUCACGGCGUCGCACAAGUACAAGAAGCAAUCCAGAUACAAUCACAACCAAAUGAACAUACAAGUAACCAACAAUUAUAUAUUCAUACACCAUUCACAUCACAGGUUCAUAUUUAUAUAUUCAAUAUUUAAACAUAAAUCCACAUCUAUCAGUUAAAAUAUUUCCAACUCAGAAAAAGGUUUUGAAAUACUAAGAUACAAAAUCCACAGAAAAUCUUUUGGAAACUGUUCCCUACACGGAAACUUUUCUCUUUUAAAAAUGCUACCACGAGGAGUAGAAAACCUUUUAUUUACGAAAAUUCAGGAAUCUUCUUCUCAUUCGAAAAACCAACUGAAGUCUUGAAUAUUUUAACAUAAUGAAAUACUCAACCAUAUAAACCCACUAAGCUAUAUAUCAAAAGAAAUAAUAAGGGCAAAAGCUAAGCCGAAUAACCUGGGUCAGAAGAUCUAUCGACCGCUACGUACAUGUCUCACGUCUCGUCUCAACCCUUACCGCCCGCGAUACCUGAAAAAUAGUGGGGGAGGUGAGAACAUGUAAACAUGUCUCCCCUCCCAGUGGGUACCGCAAGCCGNNNNNNNNNNNNNNNNNNNNNNNNNNNNNNNNNNNNNNNNNNNNNNNNNNNNNNNNNNNNNNNUACUUCAAAUACUCUAGAUCAAGUUUAACGGAACCGAUCGACGAUUCGAAAGUCGCAACAUCGAAAACGACCUGAAAGCACGGAAGGCUCCGUGCUUCCAGAAGCAUAGUAGCCUCACUCUAUAUAUUUAACGGUGUGGAUCGUCGAUUCGGAAGCUGUAUCAUCGAAAACAACUUAUAAGUACGAGGGCGAUCGUACUAUAAUAGUAUAGUAGCCGGACCCUAUAUAGGCCAUGGCUACUAUACUAUUAUGAGUAUUGGAGCCCUCGUACUCAUAAGUUGUUUUCAAUGAUGGAGCUUCCGAAUCGACGAUCCACUNAGAAGCCAACUUCUCACCGCGGCUUCUCCGGAAAAUCGAGUUACUAUUCACUUUAAGUGAAACUUGGAAAUCGCGUAGAAUUUCCGUUUUAACUCGAUUUCGCCCGAAACUUGACGAGUGCUUUUGUAAUUAAAUUACACACAAAAACAUCGUCAACUGAGAGUUUAGCUACACUGCAAAAAUCUCAGUCCUUACAUCAUAUAUAUGCAUGAUCGCUGAAUAUUUUACCUAAGAUUAAGCAGAAGAGGGAUUAGUUAUGAAAUAUAAAUUAUAUAACUCACAUCUAAUCAAGUAAAUAUAAGUCAGUUCAAUAGAAAGAAGCAGGCAGAAUGCAGAGAAAGUGCAGCAAGUAGUAAAAGACCACACAGAGUGGAAAGAAUAAGAAGAAGAAGCAACUAAGUAUGAUAUAGUAUGUAACUAAGCCCACAAAACAUUGGAAUAUGUGCUCAGGCCAUAUACUUUAAGGUAUCGUUUGGUUCGGGGAUAAGUAAAAAGUGGCUAUUCCAGGGAAAAGUAUAAAUUGAGGUAUAAGCGGGAAUUAGAUCAAUUUUGCGUUUGGAUGAAAAUUAGGUUAUUCCUGUGAAUAAAAAAAAUAGCGUUUGGUUAGAUAAGAUGUAAUAAAAAGUGUAGUGGGUUUUAAUAAAUAAAACAUAAUGAUAUUACCCACCUAUUAUAUUUUAAUUUAAAUUUUUAAUUUUUAAUUUUAUAUUUUUAAAUUUAAAUUUUUAACUUUGAAAUUUCAAAUUUUGAAAUCUCAAAUUUUAAAUUCAAAAUUUUAAAUUUUAAAUUUCAAACUUUAAAUUUAAGAUCAAAUUUAAAUUUAAAAAAUAUAAAAUAUCAAAUUUUAAAUUUUAAAAAUUUAACAUAUCAAAAUUUAGAAUUUAGAAUUUAAAAUUAAAAACUUUAAUUUUGAGAUUACAAAUUUUAAAUUUUAAAAUUUUAAAUUUUAAAUGUUUAAAUUUUAAAAUAAGAAUAGGGGUGGGAACAAUUAAUAAAAAUAAUUUAUUAUAAUAAAUUUAUAAAGUUUUUUAAAAUUCUACUUAAACUUAAAUUUAAUAAAUAUAAUUUAUUAUAAUAUUUAAAUAUAAAUAAUAUGUAUUAAUAUAGUACAAUUAAUAAAUUUAUAAUAAAAAUAAUGUAUUAUAAUAUAUAACAUAUUAUAUUUAUAUAAUUUAGUGUUAAUUCAAUUUAAAAUUUUAAUUAAGUUUGAAAUUAAGCAUUGGAAUAGCACUAUUCCACCAAAAAGGUGGAAUAGCAAAUUCCUUGCUAUUCCGAGAGAACCUGGAAUAGUAAGGUUUGACCGGGAUAAAAUAUUCCGGUAAAAAAUUGCGCCGUUUAGCGGAAUAGCGGGAAUAACUUUCGUUAUUCUCACUUAUCCUCCGAACCAAACGGGGCCUAAUGUUAUUGUAUUUAUACUAGAAUAUAUGCUUAGGGUCCUUACUAUUAUGAGUAUGAUCGCCCUCGUACUUAUUAGUUGUUUUCGAUGAUACAGCUUCCGAAUCGACGAUCCACACCGUUAAACAUUAUUUACAGCAUUUAAAACUUCUAGAAAUCAAAUUUUAUAAUUUUUCGACAUCAUUUAUCUUACGAUCAAGAGGUCACAAAUUUGACAAUUUUUAACGGCCAGUAUAGGAUACUUGCUAGUUUAACGGUAUAAAAGAAUCGGAUUUUGUUGAAUUUUUGAUAGAAAAUUCUAUUCACUACAUAGAUAAAGAUCAAUAACUCUGAUCUUGAAUUGAAGGAUCCGAUCAUCCUUUUUUAGGACGUCAUUCGAUUUUGACCGUUCAUUUUAUGCCCACUUGAUAGACUUUAUUAUGAUUUCAAAAAUUUACGAAAUUUAUUUUCUAGAAAUUUCAAAUACUCUAGAUCAUAUUUAACGGAGUGGAUCGUCGAUUCGGAAGCUCCAUCAUUGAAAACAACUUAUGAGUACA